rnacentral:lncRNA from 1 species
AUCACUAAAAGGAUGCCAGGGGUAUUGAUAGAGAGAACAGGACUUUUAUAGGAUUUGACUGCAUUCUUACGAAGUUGUAGCUUUGGCUUUAAGUGCGUCUUUAGGCCUGUGACCUUCAGAACUUUCUUUUUUACAUUUUAAGUAUUUUAUUUCUUUAUUUUUAUUUUAAGACAGGGUUUCUCUCCGUAGCCCUGGCUGUCUUGGAAUGCUCUCUAUAGACCAGGCUGGCCUCAAACUCAGAGAUCAGCCUGCCUCUGCCACCCUACCACGGAAACAGCUGAGCAGGAAGUGACUGAAUAGCCGCUACCAUGGCCAGGGCUGGGGCAGAGACGGGGAGGCCUGCUUGCUCAUAGCAACAGGACAGCAGGCUGCCCACUGAUCGAGAACACCUGCCCUGCACAGCCCUGAAGGGGUGCCAUCCCUCCUUUGCGUGUCAUCUGGACAAGUGAGUUUUGUUCCAGUUCUCAUAGAAGCCACCGCACUGCGGAGCCUUAAGUUACACAAGAAACAAGUCAAGGUCUCCCAUGGUUGGAAGGGCCCCACAUGUCUCUUGUGGGAAGAUGGGUUUCCCAGCCAGAGUCCAUCCCCCUCCUCCUGUGCAGGUGGUCUCAGGUUGGUGACACUAAGAUCAGCCUCCUAUGGGGCUUCAAGCCCCCUUCCUCUACCCCUGUGCUGCUGAGAACCAGGUGGGCGGACAGGAACGC